rnacentral:rRNA from 1 species
UACGUAGGGUGCAAGCGUUGUCCGGAAUUAUUGGGCGUAAAGAGCUCGUAGGCGGUCUGUCGCGUCGGCUGUGAAAACCCGCGGCUCAACCUCGGGCCUGCAGCCGAUACGGGCAAGCUAGAGUUCGGUAGGGGAGACUGGAAUUCCUGGUGUAGCGGUGAAAUGCGCAGAUAUCGGGAGGAACACCUGUGGCGAAAGCGGCGCACUGGACCACAACUGACGCUGAGGCGCGAAAGCUAGGGGAGCAAACAGG